rnacentral:rRNA from 1 species
GACGAACGCUGGCGGCGUGCCUAAUACAUGCAAGUUGAGCGCUUAAGGUUGGUACUUGUACCAACUGGAUGAGCAGCGAACGGGUGAGUAACGCGUGGGGAAUCUGCCUUUGAGCGGGGGACAACAUUUGGAAACGAAUGCUAAUACCGCAUAAAAACUUUAAACACAAGUUUUAAGUUUGAAAGAUGCAAUUGCAUCACUCAAAGAUGAUCCCGCGUUUUAUUAGCUAUUUGGUGAGGUAAAGGAUCACCAAGGCGAUGAUAAAUAGCCGACCUGAGAGGGGGAACGGCGAAAAGGGGAAGGAGAAAAGGACAAAAAAAAUAAGGGAGGCAGCAGGAGGGAAAGAUCGGAAAUGGACGAAAGUCAGAACGAGCAAAGACGAGGGAGUGAAGAAGGUUUUAGGAUCGUAAAACUCUGUUGGUAGAGAAGAACGAUGGUGAGAGUGGAAAGCACAUCAAGUGACGGUAACUACACAGAAAGGGACGGCUAACUACGUG